GUGCUUAUUUCAGCAGCACAUAUACUAAAAUUGGAAUGAUACAGAGAAGAUUAGUAUGACUCCUGCACAAAGAUGAUAUGCAAAUUCAUAAAGCAUCCUCUCUCUCU
ensembl:snRNA U6 U6 spliceosomal RNA